UACGAAGGGGGCUAGCGUUGCUCGGAAUCACUGGGCGUAAAGGGUGCGUAGGCGGGUUUUUAAGUCAGGGGUGAAAUCCUGGAGCUCAACUCCAGAACUGCCUUUGAUACUGAAGAUCUCGAGUUCGGGAGAGGUGAGUGGAACUGCGAGUGUAGAGGUGAAAUUCGUAGAUAUUCGCAAGAACACCAGUGGCGAAGGCGGCUCACUGGCCCGAUACUGACGCUGAGGUGCGAAAGCGUGGGGAGCAAACAGG
rnacentral:rRNA from 1 species